rnacentral:rRNA from 1 species
UACGAAGGGGGCAAGCGUUGCUCGGAAUGACUGGGCGUAAAGGGCGCGUAGGCGGCUCGAUUUGUCAGGCGUGAAAGUCCUGGGCUCAACCUCGAGACGUCGGUUAAAACCAUCUGGCUAGAGUCCGGAAGAGGAGUGUGGAAUUCCCGGUGUAGCGGUGAAAUGCGCAGAUAUCGGGAAGAACACCCGUGGCGAAGGCGGCACUCUGGGACGGUACUGACGCUGAGACGCGAAAGCGUGGGGAGCGAACAGG